AUAGGGGAGCCGGAGGGAAACCGAGUCUUAACCGGGCGUUAAGUUGCAGGGUAUAGACCCGAAACCCGGUGAUCUAGCCAUGGGCAGGUUGAAGGUUGGGUAACACUAACUGGAGGACCGAACCGACUAAUGUUGAAAAAUUAGCGGAUGACCUGUGGCUGGGGGUGAAAGGCCAAUCAAACCGGGAGAUAGCUGGUUCUCCCCGAAAGCUAUUUAGGUAGCGCCUCGUGAAUUCAUCUCCGGGGGUAGAGCACUGUUUCGGCUAGGGGGCCAUCCCGGCUUACCAACCCGAUGCAAACUGCGAAUACCGGAGAAUGUUAUCACGGGAGACACACGGCGGGUGCUAACGUCCGUCGUGAAGAGGGAAACAACCCAGACCGCCAGCUAAGGUCCCAAAGUCAUGGUUAAGUGGGAAACGAUGUGGGAAGGCCCAGACAGCCAGGAUGUUGGCUUAGAAGCAGCCAUCAUUUAAAGAAAGCGUAAUAGCUCACUGGUCGAGUCGGCCUGCGCGGAAGAUGUAACGGGGCUAAACCAUGCACCGAAGCUGCGGCAGCGACGCUGAUGCGUUGUUGGGUA
rnacentral:rRNA from 1 species